rnacentral:rRNA from 1 species
GGUUAAGCGACUAAGCGUACACGGUGGAUGCCCUGGCAGUCAGAGGCGAUGAAGGACGUGCUAAUCUGCGAAAAGCGUCGGUAAGGUGAUAUGAACCGUUAUAACCGGCGAUGUCCGAAUGGGGAAACCCAGUGCAAUUCGUUGCACUAUCGUUAACUGAAUACAUAGGUUAACGAGGCGAACCGGGGGAACUGAAACAUCUAAGUACCCCGAGGAAAAGAAAUCAACCGAGAUUCCCCCAGUAGCGGCGAGCGAACGGGGAGCAGCCCAGAGUCUGAAUCAGCUUGUGUGUUAGUGGAACGGUCUGGAAAGUCCGACGGUACAGGGUGAUAGUCCCGUACACCAAAAUGCACAGGUUGUGAACUCGAAGAGUAGGGCGGGACACGUGGUAUCCUGUCUGAAUAUGGGGGGACCAUCCUCCAAGGCUAAAUACUCCUGACUGACCGAUAGUGAACCAGUACCGUGAGGGAAAGGCGAAAAGAACCCCGGCGAGGGGAGUGAAAAAGAACCUGAAACCGUGUACGUACAAGCAGUGGGAGCACCUUCGGGUGUGACUGCGUACCUUUUGUAUAAUGGGUCAGCGACUUAUAUUCUGUAGCAAGGUUAACCGUAUAGGGGAGCCGCAGGGAAACCGAGUCUUAACUGGGCGUUAAGUUGCAGGGUAUAGACCCGAAACCCGGUGAUCUAGCCAUGGGCAGGUUGAAGGUUGGGUAACACUAACUGGAGGACCGAACCGACUAAUGUUGAAAAAUUAGCGGAUGACUUGUGGCUGGGGGUGAAAGGCCAAUCAAACCGGGAGAUAGCUGGUUCUCCCCGAAAGCUAUUUAGGUAGCGCCUCGUGAACUCAUCUUCGGGGGUAGAGCACUGUUUCGGCUAGGGGGUCAUCCCGACUUACCAACCCGAUGCAAACUACGAAUACCGAAGAAUGUUAUCACGGGAGACACACGGCGGGUGCUAACGUCCGUCGUGAAGAGGGAAACAACCCAGACCGCCAGCUAAGGUCCCAAAGUCAUGGUUAAGUGGGAAACGAUGUGGGAAGGCACAGACAGCCAGGAUGUUGGCUUAGAAGCAGCCAUCAUUUAAAGAAAGCGUAAUAGCUCACUGGUCGAGUCGGCCUGCGCGGAAGAUGUAACGGGGCUAAACCAUGCACCGAAGCUGCGGCAGCGACACUAUGUGUUGUUGGGUAGGGGAGCGUUCUGUAAGCCUGCGAAGGUGACCUGUGAGGGUUGCUGGAGGUAUCAGAAGUGCGAAUGCUGACAUAAGUAACGAUAAAGCGGGUGAAAAGCCCGCUCGCCGGAAGACCAAGGGUUCCUGUCCAACGUUAAUCGGGGCAGGGUGAGUCGACCCCUAAGGCGAGGCCGAAAGGCGUAGUCGAUGGGAAACAGGUUAAUAUUCCUGUACUUGGUGUUACUGCGAAGGGGGGACGGAGAAGGCUAUGUUAGCCGGGCGACGGUUGUCCCGGUUUAAGCAUGUAGGCUGAUUGUCCAGGCAAAUCCGGAUAAUCAAGGCUGAGGUGUGAUGACGAGGCACUACGGUGCUGAAGUAACAAAUGCCCUGCUUCCAGGAAAAGCCUCUAAGCAUCAGGUAACAUUAAAUCGUACCCCAAACCGACACAGGUGGUCAGGUAGAGAAUACCAAGGCGCUUGAGAGAACUCGGGUGAAGGAACUAGGCAAAAUGGUGCCGUAACUUCGGGAGAAGGCACGCUGGUGUGUAGGUGAAGUCCCUGCGGAUGGAGCUGAGACCAGUCGAAGAUACCAGCUGGCUGCAACUGUUUAUUAAAAACACAGCACUGUGCAAACACGAAAGUGGACGUAUACGGUGUGACGCCUGCCCGGUGCCGGAAGGUUAAUUGAUGGGGUUAUCCGUAAGGAGAAGCUCUUGAUCGAAGCCCCGGUAAACGGCGGCCGUAACUAUAACGGUCCUAAGGUAGCGAAAUUCCUUGUCGGGUAAGUUCCGACCUGCACGAAUGGCGUAAUGAUGGCCAGGCUGUCUCCACCCGAGACUCAGUGAAAUUGAACUCGCUGUGAAGAUGCAGUGUACCCGCGGCAAGACGGAAAGACCCCGUGAACCUUUACUAUAGCUUGACACUGAACAUUGAGCCUUGAUGUGUAGGAUAGGUGGGAGGCUUUGAAGCGUGGACGCCAGUCUGCGUGGAGCCAACCUUGAAAUACCACCCUUUAAUGUUUGAUGUUCUAACGUUGGCCCCUGACCGGGGUUGCGGACAGUGUCUGGUGGGUAGUUUGACUGGGGCGGUCUCCUCCCAAAGCGUAACGGAGGAGCACGAAGGUUAGCUAAUCCUGGUCGGACAUCAGGAGGUUAGUGCAAUGGCAUAAGCUAGCUUGACUGCGAGCGUGACGGCGCGAGCAGGUGCGAAAGCAGGUCAUAGUGAUCCGGUGGUUCUGAAUGGAAGGGCCAUCGCUCAACGGAUAAAAGGUACUCCGGGGAUAACAGGCUGAUACCGCCCAAGAGUUCAUAUCGACGGCGGUGUUUGGCACCUCGAUGUCGGCUCAUCACAUCCUGGGGCUGAAGUAGGUCCCAAGGGUAUGGCUGUUCGCCAUUUAAAGUGGUACGCGAGCUGGGUUUAGAACGUCGUGAGACAGUUCGGUCCCUAUCUGCCGUGGGCGCUGGAGAAUUGAGGGGGGCUGCUCCUAGUACGAGAGGACCGGAGUGGACGCAUCACUGGUGUUCGGGUUGUCAUGCCAAUGGCACUGCCCGGUAGCUAAAUGCGGAAGAGAUAAGUGCUGAAAGCAUCUAAGCACGAAACUUGCCCCGAGAUGAGUUCUCCCUGAGACUUUAAGUCUCCUGAAGGAACGUUGAAGACGACGACGUUGAUAGGCCGGGUGUGUAAGCGCAGCGAUGCGUUGAGCUAACCGGUACUAAUGAACCGUGAGGCUUAACCUU